GCCCUUGUCCAUAGACGUCUGGGAUUUCGCCCUCUCACGGCGAAAACACGGGUUCGAGUCCCGUAGGGGUCACCA
rnacentral:tRNA from 1 species